GCGCACCCAGAAACCCUUUGUGACUUAUACCUUACUGUUGCCUCGGCGCAGGCCGGCCCCUCCACCGGGGCCCCUCGGAGACGAGGAGCAGCCCGCCGGCGGCCAACCAAACUCUUGUUUCUUGUUGAUUCUCUGAGUAAAAAAAAACCAUAAAUGAAUCAAAACUUUCAACAACGGAUCUCUUGGUUCUGGCAUCGAUGAAGAACGCAGCGAAAUGCGAUAAGUAAUGUGAAUUGCAGAAUUCAGUGAAUCAUCGAAUCUUUGAACGCACAUUGCGCCCUCUGGUAUUCCGGAGGGCAUGCCUGUUCGAGCGUCAUUUCAACCCUCAAGCACUGCUUGGUGUUGGGGCACCGCCUGUGAGAGGGCGGGCCCUGAAAUCUAGUGGCGAGCUCGCCAGGACCCCGAGCGCAGUAGUUACGUCUCGCUCUGGAAGGCCCUGGCGGUGCCCUGCCGUUAAACCCCCAACUUCUGAAAUCUUGACCUCGGAUCAGGUAGGAAUACCCGCUGAACUUAAGCAUAUCAAUAAGGCGGAGGAA
rnacentral:rRNA from 1 species